GCGCCGGUAGUGCAACGGUUUAGCACGCGCUCCCAGAAAGAAUGAGAUGUGGAUUCAAAUCCCAGCUGACGCA